GCCGGUUUAGCUCAGUUGGCCAGAGCAGCGCUCUUGUAAAGCGAAGGUCGUCAGUUCAAAUCCGACAACCGGCACCA
rnacentral:tRNA from 1 species